UGAGGAAUAUUGGUCAAUGGGCGAGAGCCUGAACCAGCCAAGUCGCGUGAAGGAUGAAGGAUCUAUGGUUUGUAAACUUCUUUUAUACGGGAAUAAAGUGUGGUACGUGUACCAUUUUGUAUGUACCGUAUGAAUAAGCAUCGGCUAACUCCGUGCCAGCAGCCGCGGUAAUACGGAGGAUGCGAGCGUUAUCCGGAUUUAUUGGGUUUAAAGGGUGCGUAGGUGGCUUUUUAAGUCAGUGGUGAAAGUUUGUGGCUCAACCAUAAAAUUGCCAUUGAAACUGGAGAGCUUGAGUGUGUUUGAGGUAGGCGGAAUGCGUGGUGUAGCGGUGAAAUGCAUAGAUAUCACGCAGAACUCCGAUUGCGAAGGCAGCUUACUAAGCCAUAACUGACACUGAAGCACGAAAGCGUGGGGAUCAAACAGG
rnacentral:rRNA from 2 species